rnacentral:rRNA from 11 species
GUUAACAAUGAUUGAGUGCCCUAAAGGCAACAGAUCCCAUCAGAUCUUAAAAACUAAACAGAGUCAACUCUGGUUAGUACUUGGGUGGGCAACUACUAAUGAAGACCAGGUGUCUUUAGAU